rnacentral:lncRNA from 1 species
GCAUACAAUUGUUUAGCAAAUAGAAAUAAGUACACAACCAUAAAGAUCAUAAACAAAGUACUAAGAAAAGCAUAUCAAAUCACUAUCACCACAUAUCCAAGUAAAUUGUUAACCUUAAAGUUUAAGUAUCCAUCCACGUUUCCUCACUUUGGACAUUGAGAUACACAUUUCUUUCCAAUCAGAAUCCUUAAACUUUUCCAAGUUUUUCCAUAGAUGUCCUCUGGAAUGUCUUAUAUCUCUUCAAGAGCAGUCACACACUUAGAAAAGAAUCAAAUGUUACACAUGAAGUAGCCUCCACACUCAUAUUCC